ACCCUGAGAAAAAAAAUAGGGAAUCCCACAGUUUUGUUUCAUAAGGUCACUUUUCUGACUUGACUGCACUUGAAGGGAAGUCAGAAAAACAGAAAAGAUAAAUAAAGCCUUGUUGUACAGUUGGUUAGUAUAUGAUCUUUUUAUACUGUCUGUAUAUGAGAGGAAAUUACAAAAAGAACCAUGUGUAAUGCUAACAGAAUGGGGCAGAAGGAAUUUUAAGUCAAUUAUUUUUUUUCACCAUUGUAUUUUCAUUUUAGAACAAGAGACGGUGGCCUCACCAGUUGUCUCACAUUUACUGUUAUUCAUCAUAGUGGGAGUGCUUGUUGCUGUAUUCAUUAUUGUGUUGGGUUCACUUAUAUGGCAUUUUGGAAAGUGCAAACACAGACCAGGAAGGACCUAAAUCACAGCCCAGGCCUGUGCACCCUGGAAACGAUGUUGCCUCAGUUACUAAAGACUGUGUUCCUCUGAAAGG
rnacentral:lncRNA from 1 species